rnacentral:lncRNA from 1 species
GGCGACAGGGAAGAGACACUGAGAGACAGAGGGCUCCUCUGGUGCCAAUAUCCCCGUCCCUUUAUCUCUGCCAGUGUGACGCUCCCUUUCGUCCCGUCUCUGGUGCCAGGGAUCCGGUCUGCUUCCGCCAGCGGAGCCCCGCUGACACCCGUCACGUCAGAUGUCAGAUGUUCCCCAAAGGACAGGAUGCGCCGGCACCCGCUAGUCUCUCUCACAAAUCUACAUUUUUUUUGUUUUUUUCAGUGUAUGUGGGAGCAUGUCAUAAUGUUGCAAAUGUGAGUCUGGAUAACAUGGUGGUAUUAAAUGAGUGCUUACAUGGGGGGGGGGUUGACUGAUGUGUGCUUAUAUUGGGGGGGGGGGGUUGACUGAUGUGUGCUUAUAUUAUUGGGUGGGGGGGUUGACUGAUGUGUGCUUAUAUGGGGGGGGGGGGGUUGACUGAUGUGUGCUUAUAUUAUUGGGGGGGGGGGGUUGACAGAUGUGUGCUUAUAUGGGGGGGGGGGGGUGACAGAUGUGUGCUUAUAUGGGGGGUUGACGGAUGCAUAAGGCUGUUUCUAAGUAUUUGUUGUCUUGUUGGUGAUGUUCACAGAGGAUGUCAAACAGCACAUUGUAUUCUUCCGUGAGGACUGGUACACAACCUCAUCAUCCUGUAUACAUUCCUUAUUCACUUAGGACAGUGUGGCAUGGUACAACUUCACAGCGAAAGUGGUUUUAUUUUAUGUCUAGACAUACUCCUUUUUUUCUCUCAAAACUAAUUUCAUGUUGUUGUUUUGUCCUUCAGUGGAAGACACUUCCCUUGUUAAUAAUCAAAUCUGAUUUUUACUCUGCCUCUCUUUGUCUCCCUCUCCAUUUUCUUCUUUUCAUGGGUGUACUGGUGUCCCUUUUAUGUUCCCCACCUCCAGGUCGGCACCCCACCAGACGACAGCCUGCCCACUCCAAGCGAUGCAGCAUCUGGAGGAGGAUGGAGCUCAUGUCCCUCUCUCUCCAUGCUCCGCAGUUUUGGUUGGACCCUCGUGACCCCUCUUGCACACAUCACUCCACACAGUCUGGCACCACUCGGGCGAGCCUGAAGCCGGGGGCAAAUGAAGAUAGCUGGGCAUAAAACAAAAUGAAGAUAGCUGGGCAUAUAACAAAAUGAAGAUAGCUGGGCAUAUAACAACAUGAAGAUAGCUGGGCAUAUAACAACAUGAAGAUAGCUGGGCAUAUAACAAAAUGAAGAUAGCUGGGCAUAUAACAACAUGAAGAUAGCUGGGCAUAUAACAACAUGAAGAUAGCUGGGCAUAUAACAACAGCUCUACAACAUGGAGGAAGGGGCACUGGAACAUAACCAGACAUGAUUCACAGGAAACUGUGAUGCGCAUAAUGGCCUAUUGUACCCUCUGUAACCAGAUCAUAAGCUCAGUAGGCUACUCAGCAAGGAGGGACCCGAAUGGCAUUUUUCAUACUGGUUUAGAGCCACCCCUUGCAAUCUGGAGCCAAGCACACACACAGCUCCAUUUAGUCAACAACAUCACCUUCCAGAUCCUCACAGUAAAGGUGGGCAGCUCACUGAAGCCUCUCCUUGUUUGCAUGAGGUGGGCCGAUACCAAACUCAAGAGCCCCUCUCUCCAACAGAGCUUAUCCCAGCACUCUGACAAAUGUGUCUCCAGCACGGGCUGAUGGAGAGCUCUGAUAAUGACCUGAUUGUAUCUCACUCAGUCUGUUCUCCCGCACUGGAUCUCUGUCAGCGCUGCUGUCAUGCUACACCCAGCGUGAGUGCUGGCUGGCAGGCGCUGCCUUGUAAAUCAGACAGACCUGGUUUCACUCACUGUGAGACCGUCCACAAGAGAGAUGCAGAAACUCAGGGCCAAGGCACACACACACAAAAAAAAGAAGAAGUCAGGAGGACAGUUUAAUUAUGGAUCUCGAAAUAAACCACCCCAACGUCUUUGUUGUUUGUUUCCA